GAGGAGCCUGCGGCAGAUUAGCUAGUUGGUGGGGUAAUGGCUCACCAAGGCGACGAUCUGUAACCGGCCUGAGAGGGCGGUCGGUCACACUGACACUGACAUACGGGUCAGACUCCUACGGGAGGCAGCAGUCGGGAAUUUUGGGCAAUGGGCGCAAGCUGACCCAGCAACGCCGCGUGAAGGAUGAAAUCCCUCGGGAUGUAAACUUCGUAAGAACAGGAAGAAUAAGUGAAGGCGAACACCCUUCAUGAUGACGGUACUGUUUGUAAACUCCGGCUAACUCCGUGCCAGCAGCCGCGGUAAUACGGGGGGAGCAAGCGUUGUUCGGAUUUACUGGGCGUAAAGGGCGCGUAGGCGGCCACGACAAGUCACUUGUGAAAUCUCCGGGCUUAACUCGGAACGGUCAAGUGAUACUGUCGGGCUCGAGUACAGAAGGGGCAACUGGAAUUCUCGGUGUAGCGGUGAAAUGCGUAGAUAUCGAGAGGAACACCUGCGGCGAAGGCGGGUUGCUGGGCUGAUACUGACGCUGAGGCGCGAAAGCUAGGGGAGCGAACGGGAUUAGAUACCCCGGUAGUCCUAGCCUUAAACGAUGAAUGCUUGGUGU
rnacentral:rRNA from 1 species